rnacentral:rRNA from 1 species
CAGUAGCCGCGGUAACACCAGCAGCCCAAGUGGUGGUCGCGUUUAUUGGGCCUAAAGCGCUCGUAGCUUGACCGGUAAGUUCCCCGUGAAAUCGGGUCGCCCAACGAUUCGGCUUGCGGGGAAUACUGUCGGUCUUGGGGCCGGGAGACGCCGAGGGUACUCCGGGGGUAGCGGUGAAAUGCUGUAAUCCUCGGGGGACUACCAGUGGCGAAGGCGCUCGGCGAUAACGGGCCUGACGGUGAGGGGCGAAAGCUGGGGGCGCGAACGGGAUUAGAUACCCGAGUAGUCCCUGUCUCUUAUA